rnacentral:rRNA from 1 species
AUGAACGCUAGCUACAGGCUUAACACAUGCAAGUCGAGGGGCAGCAUGAACUUAGCUUGCUAAGUUUGAUGGCGACCGGCGCACGGGUGAGUAACACGUAUCCAACCUGCCGAUGACUCGGGGAUAGCCUUUCGAAAGAAAGAUUAAUACCCGAUGGCAUAGUUCUUCCGCAUGGUAGAACUAUUAAAGAAUUUCGGUCAUCGAUGGGGAUGCGUUCCAUUAGGUUGUUGGCGGGGUAACGGCCCACCAAGCCUUCGAUGGAUAGGGGUUCUGAGAGGAAGGUCCCCCACAUUGGAACUGAGACACGGUCCAAACUCCUACGGGAGGCAGCAGUGAGGAAUAUUGGUCAAUGGACGAGAGUCUGAACCAGCCAAGUAGCGUGAAGGAUGACUGCCCUAUGGGUUGUAAACUUCUUUUAUACGGGAAUAAAGUGAGGCACGUGUGCCUUUUUGUAUGUACCGUAUGAAUAAGGAUCGGCUAACUCCGUGCCAGCAGCCGCGGUAAUACGGAGGAUCCGAGCGUUAUCCGGAUUUAUUGGGUUUAAAGGGAGCGUAGGCGGACGCUUAAGUCAGUUGUGAAAGUUUGCGGCUCAACCGUAAAAUUGCAGUUGAUACUGGGUGUCUUGAGUACAGUAGAGGCAGGCGGAAUUCGUGGUGUAGCGGUGAAAUGCUUAGAUAUCACGAAGAACUCCGAUUGCGAAGGCAGCUUGCUGGACUGUAACUGACGCUGAUGCUCGAAAGUGUGGGUAUCAAACAGGAUUAGAUACCCUGGUAGUCCACACAGUAAACGAUGAAUACUCGCUGUUUGCGAUAUACAGUAAGCGGCCAAGCGAAAGCGUUAAGUAUUCCACCUGGGGAGUACGCCGGCAACGGUGAAACUCAAAGGAAUUGACGGGGGCCCGCACAAGCGGUGGAGUAUGUGGUUUAAUUCGACGCAACGCGAAGAACCUUACCAGGGCUUGACAUUGAGCGCCAUACUAAGAGAUUAGUAGUUCCCUUCGGGGACGUGAAAACAGGUGGUGCAUGGCUGUCGUCAGCUCGUGCCGUGAGGUGUCGGCUUAAGUGCCAUAACGAGCGCAACCCUUAUCGAUAGUUACCAUCAGGUUAUGCUGGGGACUCUGUCGAGACUGCCGUCGUAAGAUGUGAGGAAGGUGGGGAUGACGUCAAAUCAGCACGGCCCUUACGUCCGGGGCUACACACGUGUUACAAUGGGGGGUACAGAAGGCAGCUACACGGCGACGUGAUGCUAAUCCCGAAAGCCUCUCUCAGUUCGGAUUGGAGUCUGCAACCCGACUCCAUGAAGCUGGAUUCGCUAGUAAUCGCGCAUCAGCCACGGCGCGGUGAAUACGUUCCCGGGCCUUGUACACACCGCCCGUCAAGCCAUGAAAGCCGGGGGUACCUGAAGUGCGUAACCGCAAGGAGCGCCCUAGGGUAAAACUGGUGAUUGGGGCU